rnacentral:rRNA from 1 species
ACGAACGCUGGCGGCAGGCCUAACACAUGCACGUCGAGCGAGGACUUCGGUUCUAGCGGCGGACGGGUGAGUAACGCGUGGGAAUGUGCCCUUCUCUACGGAAUAGCCCUGGGAAACUGGGAGUAAUACCGUAUACGCCCUAUUGGGGAAAGAUUUAUCGGAGAAGGAUCAGCCCGCGUUGGAUUAGGUAGUUGGUGGGGUAAUGGCCUACCAAGCGGACGAUCCAUAGCUGGUUUGAGAGGAUGAUCAGCCACACUGGGACUGAGACACGGCCCAGACUCCUACGGGAGGCAGCAGUGGGGAAUCUUAGACAAUGGGGGCAACCCUGAUCGAGCCAUGCCGCGUGAGUGAUGAAGGCCUUAGGGUUGUAAAGCUCUUUCAGCUGGGAAGAUAAUGACGGUACCAGCAGAAGAAGCCCCGGCUAACUCCGUG